AAAUAAGAAGCAAUUAUUGCAUUUAGUUUCGACCUAAAAGUAUGGUCAUAAGACCCUUAUUUAU
rnacentral:tRNA from 1 species